AUACAAGCUUUGAUGGAGAAAGAAAUAUUUGAUGUUUAACUACAGAGAGCCAGCGUUGGUGUAAGUUGGUGUUAACAUAAAUAUGCAGCUAUCACUCCGGAGCUUCCAAGUAGAAAGGCUUUUGCCAAGUAAAUGAGGACGUAUACCAGCGAUAUAUGGUUAGGGUUCACGAUGAAUAGAUGUUUUUAUUAACGUUGACCUGAGUGAGUGGCAAUUAGUGUAUCUAAUUGUAAUUGAGGUGGUACCGCGGAAAGUUAAUCUUUCGUCCUUAUA
rnacentral:ncRNA from 1 species